rnacentral:rRNA from 1 species
AUUGAACGCUGGCGGCAUGCUUUACACAUGCAAGUCGAACGGUAACAGGCCGCAAGGUGCUGACGAGUGGCGCACGGGUGAGUAAUGCAUCGGAACGUGCCCAGUCGUGGGGGAUAACUACUCGAAAGAGUAGCUAAUACCGCAUACGAUCUAUGGAUGAAAGCGGGGGACCGUAAGGCCUCGCGCGAUUGGAGCGGCCGAUGUCAGAUUAGGUAGUUGGUGGGGUAAAGGCUCACCAAGCCAACGAUCUGUAGCUGGUCUGAGAGGACGACCAGCCACACUGGGACUGAGACACGGCCCAGACUCCUACGGGAGGCAGCAGUGGGGAAUUUUGGACAAUGGGCGCAAGCCUGAUCCAGCAAUGCCGCGUGCAGGAAGAAGGCCUUCGGGUUGUAAACUGCUUUUGUACGGAACGAAACGGCUCUGGUUAAUACCCGGGGCUAAUGACGGUACCGUAAGAAUAGGCACCGGCUAACUACGUG